rnacentral:sRNA from 1 species
ACUUCACACCCCGUGCCUCCCCGACUCUCCUGGCUCCUCCGCCCAGAUCCCCGGCGCUCCCGCGUUCGGUGACGGCCGGGUAGGCUGUAGGCAGCGCAAUGCCAAGACAGAGCUGCUGGCGGCGGCGGGCGAAUCUCCCUGCACCAUGAGCCUCGGCUCCAGCCCCGUUUGGGGCCGAUAAGCACAGCGCACGCCGCCCUCCAUUUGCCCCGGGGCCUCGGCUGCGAAGAUAGCGGCGGCCGGACAGGAAGCCCGAGGAAAGCGCUGGGCCGCCUCUCUACGAACACGUGAAGGAAAAGCAGCUCCGUCCACAGCGCCGCUUCGGGGCUCCUAGGGAGUCGGGCCCCGGGCCGCCACCAUCACCUCGGCCGCUGCCGCCAUAGCCUUGUUUCCCCAUCCCCCGCCAUGGCCGAGGACCUCUCUGCGGCCACGUCCUACACCGAAGAUGAUUUCUACUGCCCCGUCUGUCAGGAGGUGCUCAAAACGCCCGUGCGGACCACGGCCUGUCAGCACGUAGACAGGGUCAUGCUGUGUUACCCAGGCAGGCCUUGAACUCAUUGGCUCAAGAG